rnacentral:rRNA from 1 species
GACGAACGCUGGCGGCGUGCUUAACACAUGCAAGUCGAACGAAGAGCGAUGGAAGCUUGCUUCUAUCAAUCUUAGUGGCGAACGGGUGAGUAACGCGUAAUCAACCUGCCCUUCAGAGGGGGACAACAGUUGGAAACGACUGCUAAUACCGCAUACGAUCUAAUCUCGGCAUCGAGGAUAGAUGAAAGGUGGCCUCUACAUGUAAGCUAUCACUGAAGGAGGGGAUUGCGUCUGAUUAGCUAGUUGGAGGGGUAACGGCCCACCAAGGCGAUGAUCAGUAGCCGGUCUGCGAGGAUGAACGGCCACAUUGGGACUGGGACACGGCCCAGACUCCUACGGGAGGCAGCAGUGGGGAAUCUUCCGCAAUGGACGAAAGUCUGACGGAGCAACGCCGCGGGAGUGAUGACGGCCUUCGGGUUGUAAAGCUCUGUUAAUCGGGACGAAAGGCCUUCUUGCGAAUAGUGAGAAGGAUUGACGGUACCGGAAUAGAAAGCCACGGCUAACUACGUG